AGUAGCGGCGAGCGAAAAGGGACCGGCCCAAAGCCGAAUCCCGUGUCCCCCGGGCACCGGGAAAUGUGGCGUAUGGGAGGCGGCUCUUUCGGCCGUCGGAAGGCGACUCAAGUCCCCAUGAAUGGGGCUACGACCGGAGCGGGUGUGAGUCCCGUUCAGUCGUUCUUCCGAGGCCGAGCCGCCGUCCUCCCGGGAGUCGGGUUGCUUGAAAGUGCAGCCCAAAGUGGGUGGUAUGCUCCACCUAAGGCUAAAUAUCCCCGAGAGACCGAUAGCAAAAAAGUACCGUGAGGGAAAGUUGAAAAGAACUUUGAAGAGAGAGUUCAAUAGUACGUGAAACCGCUUAGAGGUAAACGGGUGGGCCCUCGAAGUCCGAAGGCGGAGAGAUUCAGUUAGGGUGCCUCGAACGCGGGGGGCCGUUCCGCUUUAACCGCGCCCGAACGAGUCGGGGCGGGCGGACGGUCUCUUGCGGCUGCCCUUGCGCAAUUCUGUUCCGUCGUUAGGGGCCGCGACCGGUUGGCCGACGGUUGGAAGGACGGGCCGGGGUCAGGUGGCCUGCCGCCCUCGCGGGCGGCGGGUGUUACAGCCCCGCCCUCUAACAGCCGACCGUCGUUUGUUGCCGACCCGGGACGAGAGAAACCUCUUUGAGCGAUCCCCUCGAACGAAGCGGGUCUCGGACCGCGCCGAGGCGGCGACCCUUUUCCACACGCGAGGUGGUCAGGGUAACGCGCCGCGGCGACGGGACGGGGGUCCGUCGGGGAAUCUGGAGGUCUGCGGUCAGUAGGUCGGGUCCCACCCGACCCGUCUUGAAACACGGACCAAGGAGUCUAACGCGUAUGCGAGUCCCGAGGGAGUUGACCAGCCCCGAGGGCGCAAUGAAAAGUGAAAGGUCCCGCUCUUUUUUUUAAAAGAGAGGCGACCCGGUUGGGAUCCGGCCUCCCUCAGGGGAGGUCGGCGCACCAGCGGCCCGUCCCUUCCGCCACGUCGGUGGGGCGGAGCGAGAGCGUACGCUCUAGGACCCGAAAGAUGGUGAACUAUGCCUGGGCAGGACGAAGCCAGAGGAAACUCUGGUGGAGGUCCGCAGCGGUUCUGACGUGCAAAUC
rnacentral:rRNA from 1 species